GGUUAAGCGACUAAGCGUACACGGUGGAUGCCCUGGCAGUCAGAGGCGAUGAAGGACGUGCUAAUCUGCGAAAAGCGCCGGCGAGGUGAUAUGAACCUUUGACCCGGCGAUGUCCGAAUGGGGAAACCCAGUGCAAUUCGUUGCACUAUCGUUAACUGAAUACAUAGGUUAACGAGGCGAACCGGGGGAACUGAAACAUCUAAGUACCCCGAGGAAAAGAAAUCAACCGAGAUUCCCCCAGUAGCGGCGAGCGAACGGGGAGCAGCCCAGAGUCUGAAUCAGCUUGUGUGUUAGUGGAAGCGUCUGGAAAGUCGCACGGUACAGGGUGACAGUCCCGUACACGAAAGCACACAGGUUGUGAACUCGAAGAGUAGGGCGGGACACGUGGUAUCCUGUCUGAAUAUGGGGGGACCAUCCUCCAAGGCUAAAUACUCCUGACUGACCGAUAGUGAACCAGUACCGUGAGGGAAAGGCGAAAAGAACCCCGGCGAGGGGAGUGAAAAAGAACCUGAAACCGUGUACGUACAAGCAGUGGGAGCACCUUCGUGGUGUGACUGCGUACCUUUUGUAUAAUGGGUCAGCGACUUAUAUUCUGUAGCAAGGUUAACCGUAUAGGGGAGCCGAAGGGAAACCGAGUCUUAACUGGGCGUUAAGUUGCAGGGUAUAGACCCGAAACCCGGUGAUCUAGCCAUGGGCAGGUUGAAGGUUGGGUAACACUAACUGGAGGACCGAACCGACUAAUGUUGAAAAAUUAGCGGAUGACUUGUGGCUGGGGGUGAAAGGCCAAUCAAACCGGGAGAUAGCUGGUUCUCCCCGAAAGCUAUUUAGGUAGCGCCUCGUGAACUCAUCUUCGGGGGUAGAGCACUGUUUCGGCUAGGGGGCCAUCCCGGCUUACCAACCCGAUGCAAACUACGAAUACCGAAGAAUGUUAUCACGGGAGACACACGGCGGGUGCUAACGUCCGUCGUGAAGAGGGAAACAACCCAGACCGCCAGCUAAGGUCCCAAAGUCAUGGUUAAGUGGGAAACGAUGUGGGAAGGCACAGACAGCCAGGAUGUUGGCUUAGAAGCAGCCAUCAUUUAAAGAAAGCGUAAUAGCUCACUGGUCGAGUCGGCCUGCGCGGAAGAUGUAACGGGGCUAAACCAUGCACCGAAGCUGCGGCAGCGACGCUUAGGCGUUGUUGGGUAGGGGAGCGUUCUGUAAGCCGUUGAAGGUGUGCUGUGAGGCAUGCUGGAGGUAUCAGAAGUGCGAAUGCUGACAUAAGUAACGAUAAAGCGGGUGAAAAGCCCGCUCGCCGGAAGACCAAGGGUUCCUGUCCAACGUUAAUCGGGGCAGGGUGAGUCGACCCCUAAGGCGAGGCCGAAAGGCGUAGUCGAUGGGAAACAGGUUAAUAUUCCUGUACUUGGUGUUACUGCGAAGGGGGGACGGAGAAGGCUAUGUUAGCCGGGCGACGGUUGUCCCGGUUUAAACAUGUAGGCGGAACGAUUAGGUAAAUCCGGUCGUUUAUUAACGCUGAGGUGUGAUGACGAGGCACUACGGUGCUGAAGUAACAAAUGCCCUGCUUCCAGGAAAAGCCUCUAAGCAUCAGGUAACAUCAAAUCGUACCCCAAACCGACACAGGUGGUCAGGUAGAGAAUACCAAGGCGCUUGAGAGAACUCGGGUGAAGGAACUAGGCAAAAUGGUGCCGUAACUUCGGGAGAAGGCACGCUGAUAUGUAGGUGAAGCCCCUGCGGGUGGAGCUGAAAUCAGUCGAAGAUACCAGCUGGCUGCAACUGUUUAUUAAAAACACAGCACUGUGCAAACACGAAAGUGGACGUAUACGGUGUGACGCCUGCCCGGUGCCGGAAGGUUAAUUGAUGGGGUUAGCGGUAACGCGAAGCUCUUGAUCGAAGCCCCGGUAAACGGCGGCCGUAACUAUAACGGUCCUAAGGUAGCGAAAUUCCUUGUCGGGUAAGUUCCGACCUGCACGAAUGGCGUAAUGAUGGCCAGGCUGUCUCCACCCGAGACUCAGUGAAAUUGAACUCGCUGUGAAGAUGCAGUGUACCCGCGGCAAGACGGAAAGACCCCGUGAACCUUUACUAUAGCUUGACACUGAACACUGGUCCUUGAUGUGUAGGAUAGGUGGGAGGCUUUGAAGCGUGGACGCCAGUCUGCGUGGAGCCAACCUUGAAAUACCACCCUUUAAUGGCUGGUGUUCUAACGUAGACCCGUAAUCCGGGUUGCGGACAGUGUCUGGUGGGUAGUUUGACUGGGGCGGUCUCCUCCCAAAGAGUAACGGAGGAGCACGAAGGUUAGCUAAUCCUGGUCGGACAUCAGGAGGUUAGUGCAAUGGCAUAAGCUAGCUUGACUGCGAGAGUGACGGCUCGAGCAGGUGCGAAAGCAGGUCAUAGUGAUCCGGUGGUUCUGAAUGGAAGGGCCAUCGCUCAACGGAUAAAAGGUACUCCGGGGAUAACAGGCUGAUACCGCCCAAGAGUUCAUAUCGACGGCGGUGUUUGGCACCUCGAUGUCGGCUCAUCACAUCCUGGGGCUGAAGUAGGUCCCAAGGGUAUGGCUGUUCGCCAUUUAAAGUGGUACGCGAGCUGGGUUUAGAACGUCGUGAGACAGUUCGGUCCCUAUCUGCCGUGGGCGCUGGAGAAUUGAGGGGGGCUGCUCCUAGUACGAGAGGACCGGAGUGGACGCAUCACUGGUGUUCGGGUUGUCAUGCCAAUGGCACUGCCCGGUAGCUAAAUGCGGAAAAGAUAAGUGCUGAAAGCAUCUAAGCACGAAACUUGCCCCGAGAUGAGUUCUCCCUGACCCUUUAAGGGUCCUGAAGGAACGUUGAAGACUACGACGUUGAUAGGUCGGGUGUGUAAGCGCAGCGAUGCGUUGAGCUAACCGAUACUAAUGAACCGUGAGGCUUAACCUU
rnacentral:rRNA from 1 species